rnacentral:rRNA from 1 species
UACGUAGGGUGCGAGCGUUAAUCGGAAUUAUUGGGCGUAAAGCGCGUGUAGGCGGCUUUGCAAGUCGGGUGUGAAAUCCCUCAGCUCAACUGAGGAAGUGCGCCCGAAACUGCAGAGCUUGAGUACCGGAGAGGAUGGCGGAAUUCCCCAAGUAGAGGUGAAAUUCGUAGAUAUGGGGAGGAACACCGGUGGCGAAGGCGGCCAUCUGGACGGAUACUGACGCUGAGACGCGAAAGCGUGGGGAGCAAACAGG